AUGCCUCUCACAAAGGAUCUCCUUCAUCCCUCUCCAGAAGAGAAGAGGAAACACAAGAAGAAACGCCUGGUGCAGAGCCCCAAUUCCUACUUCAUGGAUGUGAAAUGCCCAAGAUGCUAUAAAAUCACCACGGUCUUUAGCCAUGCACAAACGGUAGUUUUGUGUGUUGGCUGCUCCACUGUCCUCUGCCAGCCUAUAGGAGGAAAAGCAAGGCUUACAGAAGGAUGUUCCUUCAGGAGAAAGCAGCACUAA
rnacentral:lncRNA from 1 species